CCCUUUCUUGCCUCUGUCCCGCCCCAUUCGGCUCUAAGCGCUUUGCGAUUGGCCCGGGACGAGCGGCCUGGUACCCAGAGGGCACCACCUCCUGACAGGAAGAGCGGGAAAGUGCACCAGGAGCUGUCCGAGGCGUGAAGCUCACGGGCGCGGCGGGGGAGCACACGGUUGGCUUUGCAGCGAGUUGCCCACUGUCCCAUACACAACCCCCCGCUCCCAUGACUGCCAAAAGCAUGGAGCAGGAGUCGGGGUGCGGGCACACCGUUUGUGGGCCGGCCCGGUCUAUCCCGGGGGGCUAGGACGCGACGAGGUUGGAGCGAGGAUCCGGCGGCACACUCCGGAGCGCGGAGUAUCAGAGGCCAGAGGGAACGGGCCGGGCCCCGGGGGCGGUGCCGGCGGCGGCGGCGGGAGGCGCAGAGCCCAAUGAGCGCGCGCACCGCCCCGGGGGCGGGGUCUGAGGAGCGCUCCCCCGCCCUUGCCAGCCCCCGUCCCUCCCCCCGGCGCGGGGCCGCAGUGAGUGAGUGGCACUGGCAGCCUGUCAAUCCCUCGGCCCAGCGGCCUUCCAGCCCGGUCCGCGGCGGCUGCUGGCUGGGUGCGCGGCUCCGGCGGCGGCGGCGGCGACUUCUCCCGCCCUAUCCAUCGGCUGUCCGCCCGGCGCGCGGCCCGCCGGGGCCCUCCUCCGGGCUCAGCGCCCCCGCCGCCUCUGCCCGCCCGCUCCCAAACUUUCCUCCUCCGCCCCCCCUCGCUCCCCGCGGCCCGCCCGCAGGCCUCCUCCUCCGC
rnacentral:lncRNA from 1 species